GAAAGGUUAAGUUCUGAUAUCCCUAUUUAGGGUCUAAGAAGAGAGGAAAAAAUGGGUGCUUUAGUUUUUAGUAAUAAUACCCAAAAGUCACCACCAAACCUUGGGGUUUGAAUAUUACCAAGAAAGCAGAGUAUUGAGAGAAAAUUCACACGAGCAUCACUUAGCCUAGAGAGGUGAUUCUUUUCGUUCCUUCAAUAAGCCAAGCAGUAAUUGUGAGCAAGCAGAAGACAGGGCCACCAUUUCCCGAGGUUGGUCAGUCUUUUCUCUCUCUCUUUUUGCCUUAGUCUCACUUGCACGUUUCUUGCCCCAGCCAGCGUGUCUAGUGACCACCACUUAGAAACUUCUCAUCCCAGUCUGCAUAAGGGGCUGGAGUCAAUAUGUGGUUGGCACGUAGUGCUCUCAGCCAGCUCGUUGCACUCUAAAGAGACUCAGGUGGUCAGCACUCACUCAAUCCUCCACGUGCUCUGACAGGCUGGGCUUUGACUGGGUAUCUGGGCACUUAGUGUGCUUCUUUUCCUAUAAGCUCACAAUUGCAUUGUUCUGACUGGUUACGCCCACACUAACCUCCUCCGUUACAUCAUGGGUUAAGGGAGUUAUUUACAGCUUACGAGUAUAGCAGGGAUUUAUGUCUUUGGGUAAAGUAACUAUGUUUUAUCUCAACACACACAACUUCUCACAAACAACAUAUGCUUAUCCCAACAGGGCACACAUUUACGAUUUUGGCAGGUUUUUGAGUAGUAACAUGAUUUUCACCUCUUCUAAAAAAAUUCUGUAGUGCAUUUGAAGGGAAACACGAUUACAAGCAAAAGGACAUUUUGGUGGGUGUUAUGGGCUGAAUUGUGUACCCCCAAAAUUCAUAUAAUAAAGUCCUAACCUCAGAAUGUGACCAUAUUUGGAGC
rnacentral:lncRNA from 1 species